UGCAAUAGAAUGUAUGGAAUGUGCAGUGU
rnacentral:piRNA from 1 species